GAUGAAGAACGUAGCGAAAUGCGAUAAGUAAUGUGAAUUGCAGAAUUCAGUGAAUCAUCGAAUCUUUGAACGCAUCUUGCGCUCCUUGGUAUUCCUUGGAGCAUGCCUGUUUGAGUAUCAUGAGCAAAUCUCAAAGUCAAUUCCUUUUGUUGAUUCAAUUGGUUUUGCUUUGGACUUGGAGGCCUUGCAGAUUUCACAGUCUGCUCCUCUUAAAUGCAUUAGCUGGAUCUCAGUAAUUAUGCUUGGUUCCACUCGGCGUGAUAAGUAUCACUCGCUGAGGACACAGUUAAAAAGGUGGCCAGGAAAAUACUGAUUGAACCGCUUCUAACGGUCUAUUAAGUUAGACAAUUACCCUUAAGUUUGAUCUCAAAUCAGGUAGGACUACCCGCUGAACUUAAGCAUAUCAAUAAGCGGAGGA
rnacentral:misc_RNA from 1 species